UAGGGAAUCUUCCGCAAUGGACGCAAGUCUGACGGAGCAACGCCGCGUGAGUGAAGAAGGUUUUCGGAUCGUAAAGCCCUGUUGUUAAGGAAGAACGAGUGUGAGAAUGGAAAGUUCAUACUGUGACGGUACUUAACCAGAAAGGGACGGCUAACUACGUGCCAGCAGCCGCGGUAAUACGUAAGGUCCGAGCGUUGUCCGGAAUCAUUGGGCGUAAAGGGUACGUAGGCGGGUAAGCAAGUUAGAAGUGAAAUCCUGUAGCUCAACUACAGUAAGCUUUUAAAACUGCUCAUCUUGAGAUAUGGAAGGGAAAGUGGAAUUCCUAGUGUAGCGGUGAAAUGCGCAGAUAUUAGGAGGAAUACCGGUGGCGAAGGCGACUUUCUGGCCAUAAUCUGACGCUGAGGUACGAAAGCGUGGGUAGCAAACAGG
rnacentral:rRNA from 1 species